rnacentral:lncRNA from 1 species
GCUGACACGAAGUUGGAUGAGGUUAGAGCAACGGGACAAAUUGGUAGGUAUUGUACCCGAAAAUGAAUUGUUGGGCAGUGCUAGUUUCUCAAGCCUUAAAAGAUUACCAAUUUCUUGGGGAAUUUCGCCAUGGAAGCUGUUGUCCGAAAGGUUGAUGUACCUGAGGAAGCUGAGAUUUCCAACGUAAGGAGACAAGAUGCCUCCUAUCCUUUGGUUACUCAAAUCUAACCGGGUCACCCUUUGAUGCCGAUGGCCACAAGUCACUCCCGUCCAUUGGCACAAGUUUAUGGUAUUGUUCCAUGAACUUGUGACUCCUGAUGUAUCAUGAAGCUGUGACUUUAUGGCAAGCAAUGCGAGUCGAUCUGUCUCGUUGGUUUGGCCAGCAGAAAAGCUAGGAGAAUUAAUAAGCAACAAGCUGAAGCACCAUAUCAAAAUGGCAAGGCAGCCAAUGGAAAAGGAAAUAUUAGGCAUUUUUCUUAAGGUGGAAAAGUGUAAUGCAAUGGAAUGUGUGGGUGAUUGUAUACUCACACAUAUCAAAAAGUGAAGGCCUUUUAUAGGCAUAUUUGACUAGUUUGUAUACUCACACGUCACAAAUUAAAGCAGUGGAGCUCUUAAAUGCAGAAGCACAGCUAGACUUUGGAAGCUUCAUCCUAGUUUCCAGGCCAUGAAUAUGAUUGGACAGCCAAAUGACUAUGUGGUGAGAACAAUAUAGAAAGAGAAAAAGGGGAAAGGAAGUUCGGUGUGAAAGAAAGGAGAAGAAGAGAGAAAGUUGAGGGGCCAGGCGUCAGAAAAAAAGAGAAGGAGAAGAAGAAGGAAAGUGGAGGGACGGUGGGGCGGGAGGGAGCAACGAGCAUUGUAAAAGAAAGAGAAAAAGGGGGAGACAGAGGGAAUCUCAAUCUGCAGAGAAAAAGGUAUUCAGUAUGCUAACGCUGAAAACGUGUGACGUGUCUCUCCGGUUCAGACACUACAAAGAAAAACUUCGAUCCGGUUUGUACGGUAUGGGGGCUGGGAUUUGACUAGCGUGUCGCCGGUCGUACUACUCUCUAACAUUAAUUCCUAUUGUUUAUUGACACGUAAGUAUGGUCUUGUUUAAUUGGACUGCGUGGCUAUAGAUUGUUGGUCUAUAAGUUUGUGUUUUUGUACAGAAAAGCCGUGGAAAGAGCCGAUAUUCACGCGACGUGGGGACUCAUCGAAAGUAAUUUAUAAUUUCUUUUUGGUAAAGAUUUAAUAGCUUUAUGACUUUUUUUAUUGUGUGUUGCGCAUGCAUUGAGGUAACUGUGCACAUGAAGAAACACGUGGAGACGAGGAUUGAGUUAGACGGCUUUUUCUUUGCAGUACUGCGUAUAAUAUGUAUUGCUACUACACAAAAUAGAACUACAUAUGAGCAAAUUAAUAAUAUGAGGAUUGAGUUAAUAAUUUUGAAUAUUCGGGUCCUUCAAAAAAAUUAAUAAUUUUGAAUAUACAGAUUUGAAAAUAGAACUACAUAUGAGCAAAUUAAUAGCGUAAACAGCAUUUCAAUUUUCAACCGAACGAAUUCGGCCAUCAAGCGUAUCCAUAAUUAGUAACAAGAUUAUUUCAACACAAAACGAAUUGAUGAUCAUCCAUCACGGAUAUCCAUAAUAACAAUUCCAAUAUCACUGAACAAACCUAUAUAAUGAUUUCUAGGCCUAAUGGAUGGAACAUUCCACUUAGUAAUAUUCAGCCAAGUUUCACAGAACAGGCCCUGUCGCAAGCGAAGGCGGUAAUUUGAUUGAUCAAAUGGUAGCAAAGGCGGCAACGGGUGGUUGGGUCCGCCGAGAAAUGAGACCGCCGGCGAGAAAGGGUUAGCAGCUUGCGGUAAAAGCAAAAGGUUUGCGGUAAAGGAAAAUGUUCAAUUUGGCACAUGCAAGCUCCCUGAGAACUUCACAGGCUGCCAAGAUCUUGCCAAGCAAAAGGUUAUUAUCACAUUCUAGCUCUGUUCAUUCAUUUGUUUGCUGUUGAUUUGUGUUGAGUAAUUUUAUUUUCAAUUUUCAACUUUCAAUUUUAUUUUUUGCAGAAAGUGCCAUUCAUCUCUGAUGAUUUGGAAUUGGAGUGCAAAGGGAAAGACAAAUAAAAGUGUGGUUCCAAUUUUUUUCUGGAAAGGGUGAAGUGGGACAACUACUCUGUUUAAACAUUUUAUUUUACCCUAAAGAGUUACAAGUAUUGUAGUAUUUUAGCUCUCUACCCAAAACACUAAUACACCCAAACUCUCAAAUCACUAAAAUAAGAGCUUAUAAAUGCAAGCUCUUAAACUCUCUCUCAACUCCCUAAAUUGUUCUCUCAAGAUUGGAUGAAAAAUGAGGGUGGGAAGCCCUCUUUAUAUAGCCAAAAUUUUGGCUCUUUUUUUUUUUUUUAUUGGAGUCAUUCAACACGGCACCACCAACAAUGGCGGGCCGUGUUGAAUGUUGAAUGGUUGGCACCGGCCAUCUAGAUGGCCGGCGCCAGCCAUGACUUUCAACACAAUUGAAUCUUGCUGUAGUUUAGUAUUGAACUCUCAGUUUGCUGAAAGUAGUUUCCAUUCCUAAAAUGCAAUUCAUUUGAACCCCAAAGUUCAAAUCUUCCCCAGAAAACUCAAGAAAAAGAACACCAAGAUGAGCUUUUGUUCUGUAACUGGGGCCCGGGCAAAGGGAACACCUGACUGUUAAAGCCUCAAACAAAUUGACAUUGCCAUUUCACCGAUGGGGCCAGACCUAAUAAACUAACAUUUUUCAUGCAGAUCUAAUUUAGUGUACCUAUAAUGCCUGCCGGUGCUGGGGCUUUCGUUGUAUUUACACUGACCACAUUAACAAAAGAAAUACCCUUUAUUUUAGGAAUAGCUUUGGGAUCCCAUCCUUCAUCAGGAUGGUCAUUAGACCCUCUACUGAUCCAUAUAGGUAUCUUGACUCUCUCCAUUUUUAUAUUCCUUAUGGUAAUAUUUUCAAUAUUUCUCCCUCUUCAUUUGUCGGUCUUUAUACGAAUCCCAGCUGCUGCAUCCCAAACAUGCAAAUGAUCUACAGUUACAUUAAAAAUCCCUCAAGACAUCUCACUACCUAUUCAUUCCAGCUCCUGAACAAGUUGGGGUAGUGCCGGAAACACUCCUUACUACGAUGUUUGAACUUGGACGAGCCAUCGCAAUGCCAUAGCGGUCCAAUCCGCACCAAAACUUGGACGAGCCAUCGCAAUGCCAUAGCGGUCCAAUCCGCUAUUCACUGCCACCGGAUCAUCCCCACUUUCAAUGUAACAGUCUUUAAUACACACAUUCGUGCUCGAGUCUGUAUAAUGCUUUGUAUAGGUUUGUAAUUCAAAAGCUUAAGAGACAAUACUGCCCAAGAAAAAGAAAUGAGAAAAUAAAGAAAAUAAGAAUGAAAAGAGAAUAUUUGUCUACCUAGGUCUAUACCAUCAGUAUUUGGCGCAUUAAGAGGAGCCAAGAUUGUCAUCCCUUUGAUAACAACAUUCCUGAAACAAAUGCAAUGCUGCCUAUUGGCGCUCAAGUAGAUGACUCAUAAGUGUUAUUUUUUCUGUCACACAUUAAUGCUAAGGUGCUAAUUGCUGUGGUAACACGACCCGCCCCGACCUAUAUGCAAAUCCGAGGCGAAUCAUGUGGUUUGAUUACUAAAAGUCAUAAUAUAAACUUAAUUUAGGAACAUAUAAAAAUGAAUUCAGGCCUCUACUAUAUUCAUUUAAUAACAUAUGUAUCUCAUUUGAAAACAUAUACAAACUCCUCACACUUAACAUCUCACUAUAUACACAUACAUCAUGCAUAUUUACAUAUGAACAUAAACGUGCUCAAAAUACAAGUGAUGCAGUAAUGCAUGUCAUGGCUCUCAAUUGAUUAAAAAUUGGACUAUACGAAAUCCAACAGAAAUUUGGAGAAAUAGGGUAAAUAGGAAAAUAGUUAGUUUGUGGCUCGGUGACUGGAUAUAAUAUAUAUAUAUAUAUAGAGUAGUUUUACAAUCCAGUAUCCGGGAUUGGAGUUAUAAUCCGGGAGACAAUUUGUUGCCGUCGGAUCAAAUCCAACGGCAACUUAUAUUUUAAUUUCAAAUAUUGAUUCCAACAUAAGGGCCCACAUGCAGACUUUUAUAAUUUUUAAUAUUAAAAAAAUAAAGUUGCCUAAUAAAUUUUUAGAGAGAGAACUGAUAUUCCCCAUCGGUUUCUUCAUCACUGCUUUUCAGAAUCUGAAUAUCCUCUCCAUUUCAUUCCUCCAAGACUUCAAAUUUCUUCUCUUUUUACUCAAUUCCAAUUGACCCAUUUGAGUUUUUAACGAUCAGAACCGAACCGGGGGGGGUUAAAGAUCGGUUCUUUUGCGACUUCUAAGGCUUCCUUUUAAUCUUUGGAUCUGGAUAUGAGGGGUUUCAAUGAUUGGGCUGUGACCGACGCAGUGUGACCGCAGGUGAGUUGAGCGAUGGCGAAGGGGCGAAUGAAGAGGGAAAAGGAGAGCCACAAAAGAAGGGAUUGGAAGGGCUCGCUGCUUUCGAAGAAGAAGAAAGCGAGAAAAAUGAGAAACGAAGAGUCUGUAAAGGCGAUUAAGAGAGAAAGUUUUGUGAGUUUUUGAUGGAUGUUGAUGCCUGACUGGAGUAUGGAGAUCCUGCUCCAGCACUUCUCUGUAGUUGCCGGUGAAGGAAAGUUAAUAGCAAAGCUCACCUGAUUGAUUUACUAAAAUCAGAUGGAUCAUGAACUCGUUGUUUUUUAUGUUCUCAAUAUUAAUAAAAUUACAAAGUUUGAGAUAAACCAAAAAAAAAAAGAAUUACGGCGGCAACAUCGGCAAGAAAUGGUGACAAAAUGGAAAUCAGUGUGCAUGUGUAAUCAUGUGCUUGUUUUAUUCCUUUUUCCCCCUUGAUUUAAGUUGUACUAAAAUGGAUAAUGAAAAAGUGGAAAUCCCAAAUGGUGAUUUGUUAGUAUCAGUUCUUUUUGGCUUUAGUCAGAUGAUGAAGAAUCCGGGGAGGGAAUAUCAGUACUCCAUUUAAAAGCAGCUUUACUUUUUAAUAUUAAAAAUUGUAAAAGUCUGCAUGUGGGCCCGACUGUUGGAAUCAAUAUUUGAAAUAAAAAUAUAAGUUGCCGUUGGAUUUGAUCCGACGGCUACAAAUUGUCUCCCGGAUUAUAACACCAAUCCAGGAUACUGGAUUGGAAAACUACUAUAUAUAUAUAUAUAUAUAUAUAUAAAGUAAUGCACUAGUGUAGUAGUGCUUAUACAUAAUCAUAUUACAUAACUCUAGUGAACACAUUACAUGACCAAACAUACAUAUAUUAUAUACAUGACAAAACUAUACUAAAUAGAACCCAAGGGAAAUAACUCUUAAAACUCGCUAGAAUCAUCAUCGCAAGAGUAGAGCAGGGGAAAAACCUCUCAAUCCCAGCAAAAUUUAACUACAUCACACGAGUAGAGGAACCUAACUCUCAAUUCACAUGCGCAGAGCCUAUAAGGGAGGGUACACAUAUGAUGAUUAGCAAUGACAUCUCAUGACUCAAUCAAACAUAUAUUAUGUGUACAUAUAAUCACAAUAUGAUAUUAAAUCAUACUAUCUGACAUAAAUGCUUCACAAAAUACAUAAUAGUAAUAAUAGUAUCCACUCACAACUCUUGUUUCACUCUAGGGUUUGUUAGGGCUCUUGUGGGUCUCUGGAUUCUUGGAUUUCUAUAAAAAUACAAGGUUAAAAAAUUAAUGAUUAGAAAUGAUACAAAAACUUAUAUGAUGUAAAAUAAAACAUAACUAACUACUUAAAAUUCAUGAAAAUAUUACCCACUAACUCCCUAAAUGUAGAUCUAACUAUCCAAUUAUAUUUCCCAUAAUAUUUCCCUCAAUUCCACUUUUCAAAUUAUUUUCCACUCACAACUUCUUAAUUUUCUUUUUCUCCUUUUCCUUUCUUUUCCUCUUUUCCCAACUCUCGGCUUCUUUCUUUUCUUUCUACUUUUAUGUUUCUUUUCUUUUCUCUUCUCUACUUUCCCAUUUCUCUCCCAUUUCCUUUGUUUGUUCUGGGUGCUCCAAUUUGAUAAAAUAAAGCAGCUGUCAAAAUUUUGCAUUUAUAGAGCGACCGAACGGCCACCGAAUGCAAGCAAGCAGCUCCCACUUUAUAUAAGCACUGCUUGAAGCAAGCAAAUAACUAUAUUACAUUAUAAUACUGUAACGAUUCUCUUACUAAGCAGUAUAUAUUUUUAUUUUAUUUUAUUUUAUUUGUGCAUAUAUGAUGUUGCAUUUAUCUGCCUAUAAUUGGCAUAUAACUAGUUACAUUAUGGACUUGCAUGUGUUAAUAUGAGCAUACCACGCGAUUAGUAUUUUGCUCGGUACAUUUGUGCCGCUCUUAGACACUUGGGUGGUCAGUGACACUACGACUAUUUUUUCUCUAUAUUAAUGCUCUUUGCGAACAUGAGGCCCAACAUGUCUUAAAUGAGUUACAAUGUCUCAUAUUUCUUUACUUGUAACGAGACUUUUCUUUAUGCUACUUCUUAUUUUGAUGAAUCGUUUUGCUUUGAAAUGGAGAAAUAUGCUCGAUGAUUCGCUUGCUUCCUUGUUCAAUGAUUUGUUUUUUAUUGAGAAUAAGAUAAAUUCGCCAGCUUUUAAUUUUGAUAACUCACUUUGUACUGAGACAACGAUAAUUCACUUGCUUCUUUUUAAAAAAAUUUCUUUUUGAUUGAAAUUAUGAAAAUUUCCUUUGAUUUGAGAAAUUUAUCUAAGAAUAAGAUCGGCAAAAACAAAUAGAAAAAAGAAAAAUUCGAGCAUUAAAUUUUCAUUGGGAAUAUAUCAUCUUGGUUGAAACGGGCAAUCAACUUCCUCACUUUCAAUCAAAGGAACAAAUUCCUUUAAUUAAGCCAGCUAAGUAUAUGCCAUAUUCUUAAUAGUUUAUACGAAGAAAUAUUAUGACCUUUGGCUAAGCAUCUUUCUAUUACAAGUUAUGCGGAGACUUUUAAUUCACACAUAGCGUAGCUUGUGCUUGGGUAGAGAAAAUUAAAAAUUUGGUCCGCUGACGAAAGAGUUGGUGGGUUUUAUCCCCCUUUUUUUUUUUUUGUGCGUAUGUCCAUGAUCUAAUUUUUUAUUAGUUUUAAUGCUGACUAACAAAGACAAGUUUACAGAUGGAAAAUAACUAUGUUAAGAGUUAAAAGCUGGUUGUUAGGUAUAUGUCUACUUUUCCAUUUUUUGUGUCAUCUUACACUAAUUUAUCAAGUUGGAAUUGAAAUAAAAGCAAUUAUUAAAGCAAAGAUGUAGAAAAGUUGAAAACUUUUAAACUACUAUUAAAAGCGGAGCAUGUCGGAAAGAAAUUAUCUUCCAAGAACCUUUUUUUUUUUUUAAAAAAAAAACAUAUUCACAUAUACACAAUUAUUCCAUUGUAUAUAUUAUACAUGAAAUAUAUGUGAAAACCUUCAAAUUGAUCAGGCAUAUUUAUCGUUUUAUUCUAAAUUAAAAGGUACAUAGACAUCAGAAAAGUAAUUUUUCUCUUUUUCUAAACCAAAUAUCCUUUCCACUUCUAAUUACAAGUUCUCUUUUUCCUUUUUUAUUUUUUUUAAUUUACCUGUGAAAUCACUUUCAACUACUCCAUUGUGAUAUCAUUGCCAACACGGCCAAAUAUUCGACGAAGGAUCUAAUUUUUUUAACGUUCAGGAAUCAGGGGUAAAAUCGUAAGUCAGAACAAAAGUUUUCUCUUUAAAACACCGCCCGACAGAUUGAACGCCCUUGCUCAGUAAUUGCUCUGUAAGCUACACGCGAAGUCCAAAACAAAGCAAGAAGGUAAAGACCGGGACCAUGACCGCCUCCGUGUCUGCGCCUAUGGCGUCUGCUGCGGAUCAGCAGUAUGUGACUGCGAAGACGUCGGUGUGGUGGGACAUAGAGAACUGCCAGGUGCCGGAUAACCGUGACCCUCACACGAUAGCGCAGAACAUCAGCUCCGCCCUGGUCAAGAUGAACUACUGUGGUCCCGUCUCCAUCUCCGCCUACGGCGACACCAAUCGCAUCCCCGCGUCUGUACAGCACGCGCUCUCCAGUACUGGGAUUGCUCUCAAUCACGUCCCCGCCGGUAUAUCAUUUUUCACUCUAUUUUUUUUUUUUUGGGUUGAGAAUUUUUUAAUUUAUUUUAUUAUGAAUGUGACUUCGAUGAUGAAUCUCCACUUUGACGGUAGAAUUUUAUACCAAAAAAGAUUGGUUUAAUUUGUUGAUUGAUCGAUCCCUGAUAUUUGAUUUUGCUUCAGAAUUAAUGGAUUGAAAGCUUUUUUUUUUUUUUCUUUUUGGCUUGUGUUGUAUGAUGUUAACUGACUUGUUAAAGAAUGAAAAAAAAAAAAAAAAUAGGUAUUAAAGAUGCGAGUGACAAGAAGAUUUUAGUUGACAUGCUAUUUUGGGCAGUGGACAAUCCUGCUCCCUCGAAUUAUCUGCUGAUAUCCGGAGACAGAGAUUUUUCUAAUGCUCUCCAUCAAUUGCGUAUGAGGAGGUAUAAUAUUCUUUUGGCACAACCACACGAGGCAUCAGCACCACUUGUUGCAGCAGCGAAGAGUGUAUGGCUUUGGACGAGCCUUGUAGCUGGAGGACCCCCGCUUCCUAGUGGUGAAUCUUUGCUUCGUACUGGUGAUUUCGCUACUUUUAACCCUGAAAAUGAACCUGUUCAAGCAAGCCGACCAAUGGGAAACACAAAUACUGGAAGAGUUGGUGAUACAAAAUCUAAAGGUAAACACGUAAACAAGCGCACAAAUCAGCCUAGCAUAUCUAGAGCUGCAAGUACACCAGUGGGUAAUGGAAAUAAUUCCAGAAGAAGUUUUCGGAAUCAGCAUCCUUUGCCUUCGAGGCCAUAUCACUUCCCUAUGCAACCAAAUUUUCCUCAGGAUAAUUUUCUACCUCAUAAUUCUCACAACCAUGGUUUCCGCCCCAUGCCUCCCAAACCGACUGGUUUGGAUUAUCCCAUGUAUCCCGAACCGACUGGUUGGGAUUAGAGAAUGUAGAAAGGAAGGUAAUUUAAAUUUUAUUUUUAUUUCCAUUGUUUGUUUGGACAAAAUAUAUAAGAAUUUAAUUUUCAUUAAAAUUUAAUAUCCUAAUGUAGAAUUUGAAUUCUACAGCAAGUAACAAAGAAUUUAAAUUCCUCUUAUGUUGGAAAUUUAAAUUUUUAACUUCUUUAAUGCCAUUAAUAAUUAUUAUUUAUAGUUUUAUUUUAUUAAUUUAAUAUUAUAAAAAAUUAUAUAUUAAUUAAAUUUAAUAAAUGAUUUAAGAUACUUAACAAAAUAAAUAAACUUAUUUAUUUAUUUAAUAUGAAAAUAUAAAAAUAUAAAUUAAUUGUCACCGGACCUCUGCCAGAUGUUGCCGGAAAGUCAUCGGAACUUUGCCGGAGGUCGCCGGACCGCCGCUGCACAUCUCCGGAACUCUGCCAAACGUCGUCGGACGUUGUCGGAAAGUCGCCGGACAUCACCGGAAAGUCGCCGGACCACCAUUAUAUAUAUAUAAGAUUAUAUUUCAUUACUAAUAUAAAUAGUUUAAUAUUUAAAAUAAAGGAUAAAUAUUUUAAUUAUAAUUCAAACCAAACAAUGAAAUCUAAUUUCACUACUCUCCUCCACUCCUUUCUUCUCCCUUCCCUUCCAUUCUACUCUUUUCCUCUCCUCCCCUUUCUUCAAACCAAACAUGGCCUAGAUUUCCUUUGAGCCCCACUUACAAAUUUGCCUAAUAUUGGUAAGCUAAGUACGUUCGAGCAUCCAAACUAUGCUGAAAAUCGUCCUAAUUUCCAUCCUCAAAGUGGAGAAGAAUUCAAAACAAGCUAUUCUGACUCCCCAAAUCCAGCUAGCCUAAACGUACCACAAAAAGGCCAUGCCAUGCCUGGUGGCCAAGCAACCGUGAUUCUCUAAACAGUAGGUAUUCCCGUGGUCCAGAAGGUCUAACCUCGUCAUCGUCCUCAACAACUAUUCCUGCUUCUAGUAAUGGCGGGUGGGGGACUCAGGGACACCCGACUCCUUCUGAAUAUGUACAAGGCCUCACCAGGUAUUAUCUAAGAGAACAAGUGAUUAUUAUAAAUAUUGAAGUAUUAGUUUAAAGCUAAUGUUAGUAAUUUAACUUUUAUUAAUUUUUGGGUAUGAUCUAAUAUUAUUUUUAAAAAAUAAUUGCUUGAAAUUUAGGGACUUGACAAAAUUUCAUUAGAUUUCAAUAGAAAUAACGUGCGUAAUAAAUAAAUUAAAUAAAAAGGUAACAAGUGAUCAAAGUACUGAGUAAUUAAUGUAAAAGAUAACAAGUGAUUAAAGUAUUGAGUAAUUAAUGUUGUAUGGAUUAAUUUGCAAAUCCUUCUGGACCGGUUCGAAAACCUGCUGAAGUUAUUGGGCUUUUCGUGAAAAUAUCAUCCAGUUAAAGGGAUGAAGUGAUAAAGGGAUGCCGAUGUGGCAAAGGAGUUUGUUAAAGUUUGUUAUCCCGUAACAAACCCAGAAUUGCCUUUCUAAGCGAUAGUUAGCUUAGUUUCGUCAUCUUGUAUUUUCUCUUUGCUAAGUCAUUUUCUUUGAUCUUUGAUUUGUUCGUUAGUUUUACAAUGUUUCUUGAUCAGAUUCUGAGUGAUUAAGCAAUAAAUGGCGUGUUAAUUUUUGCUUCAAAUUUGCUGUUGUGUGCAACUUUCUUUGUUCUGUUUCCAGUUUCCUCUGUUCGUUUUGGUGCUUGAUUUUAUUUUUUUUUCAAAGUUUAUUUUGGAUUCUUGGUUUGAUAACCAUUGAAACUUCAACAAUUAAUUUACUGAUUAUAUUUUAUUUUUGAUUGAACAACAAAGAGAAGAAAAAAUAUUAAAGAGAAAUAGGAGCGAUAGAAAUUAUAUUUCAUAUGAAAUGGAUGAGAAGUACGAAUAUGGGUAAAUAGAUCAUAAGAUUAAUAUUAAAGACAUAAAAUAUAAAAGAAAAAGUAGACAUAGCUCAUUAAGAAUCAUAUCUUAACCCUUUCAUCAGUUGUGAAGUUAAGUAAUUUUAGUUUCCUCAAAUUAUCAUUAUUUUUUAUAUAAUUUGUAUAGAAUAUUAUUAAUGAAAUAUAUUUCAAUUUCCAAACGAACAUGUACAAAUGCUCUUUUAAGAGCAAAAGGAUUAAAAAAAAUAUUGAUAAUAAGAUUAAGUAUGUCAUAAUAUUGAUUUUUUUUUUCAAUAACAUACUCAUUGAGUUAUUUCAUGAAUUGUAUGUGUUAAAUGUAUAAUAAGAACGUAUGAUAAAUCGUGAUUAGACAAACAUCUUACGAAAAAUAAAUUAAAUUAUUAGCGUUGAUAUUUAGAAAUUAGCUUAUGUUCAACCAAAUUGAUCAUCGUUAACUAAUUAUCAUUAGAAGUAGGCAACCAUCGCUAGCCAUCCUUAAUAAUUGUUCUUAAUCAUCCUGUGAAGUGUGAAGCGAUGGCUACUAUGAAUUAUAAUUAAAGAAGAAAGAAUAAAGUUAUUUUUAAUGUAUUCAAAUUUUUUUAAAAAAAUUGUCCUUUUUAGUAAUUGUCAUGAAAUAAUAAUAAUAAUAAUAAUAAAGGGGUGCAAGCAGAAGCAAUACAAUUCUUUGAAGGAUUCCUAUAUGAUGUCAUAAUUUUUUUCCGGCAUCAAUAAUGUUUUAAUUGUACACCAUUAGAUUUAAUUAAUGGUAUACAACAUUUGUACUAAAGAAAAAGUUUUUUAAAAAAAUUAAAAACAAUUGUAACCGGUUUGUAAACCGUUUAUGGGGGUAAAGAAUUUUUAUAAAACGGCUUUGACCACCCUUGAAGUUUGAAACAAUUGCACUUGAAUAUCAUUUUUUUAAAAAAUAACUUUUUGACCCUACUUUAAAUUUGUAAUGUGAUGAUCUUUUUUAUAUAAAGGUUUCAAAAUCAAUAGUAAGUUAUUUAACACAAAUCAAAUAAAUACGUUACAAUUGUAAAGUUUAUAUAUGAUUUAAUUACCAAUAAACGAUAGAAUUAAGAAGAUAUAUUUAAGCUAAUGUCAUAAUUACAUCAAUAAACUCAAAAAUACUUGCUCACGCAUGUUUUAAUAAAAUUUAAUAUCGCAUAUUAAAUUACUUGUUAUUUUAUAUAUUAUUAAGUACCAUUGUAUAAUUGAUCAUGAAAUAUAUAUUAUAUUUAACACUCAUUUAGCAUAACUAUUCCAUGAAUUUAUUAUCUUACAAUUAAUAUUCUUACAUGGUAGGAAAUUUAAGUUUUAGAGGCCUAUAUAUUUUCAUUUUAUUUUGAAUAUCACUUUAUUAAUUUCAUAAAAAUUAAAUCCAACAUAUAUUCCUAAUUAGCUUUAUGAAUCAUGAAAGAUUAUUUUAUUGAUAUCAUUUGAUUGUAUUUAUGAAAUUUUAUGUUACUAAGAGUCAUUACUUUUAUUACAGUAAUUAAUAGUGACAAUAAAUAAAAUAUUACUUCCAAUAAUAUUUACAUGGGAAGGAAUGAAAAAAAAAAUUCUUUGUAUAUUUUUAUAUUUUUGUUACGUGAUAGGAAGUUAUCCAAGCCUUGUAAAAUUUAAGUUUCACAGGCAUGUUUUUAUUUUAUUUUCAAAUAUCACUUCAUUAAUUUCAUAAAAGUUAUAUCUAACGUGUAGUCCUAAUUAGCUUUAGUUUAUGAAUCAUGAAGGUUAAUUUUAUUGUCAUCUUUGAUUGUAAUUAUAAAAUUUUUACGUUAUUAAGAGUCCUUACUUUUAUUAUGAUAAUUAAUGGUAAAAAUAAAUAAAAUAUUAUGUCCAACAAUAUUAAACAGAAAAAAUGAGAAAAAAAUUCCUAGUAUGUUUUCAUAUUUCCAUUAUAAAGACAUGGUUUGAGAUAUUUUAACUUAAAAUUUUGACACAAAAUCAAAAUUUAAGCCAUUAAUCUCUCACAAUCUAAUGACCGAUAUUGAAAGUCAAACCAACAUUUUAUAGUGUUAUAUCCUCCACUAUUUAAUUGCGUGAAAUGAAUAGUUUAAUUUUGUAUUAAAAUUUAAAUAAAAGUAUUUCUCAUUUGUUGUGACUUAUAUAGUAGCAUUAAUAAAACAUAUAUAAACUACUAUCAUAAUGCUUUCUAUUAUCAUCAUUUUUUAAGUAUUAAUAGUUUUGUAAUUACAUUCGUACAACACAAAUUAUUAUAAGACUUUAUGUAAUAUCUUUAUGUAAAGUACUAUUGAAAUAACAUUACUUAUUAAUUACAUUUAUUUUAAUGCUAUUAUACGUAUUUCUAAUACUAAAUGUAAAACUUAAAAAAAAUUAAAAUUGUAAAGUAAAGUAGUACAUAAUAAUUUCAAUUCCAAAAUUAUUUUUUUCAUUUCUUGGUGACUUAUAAUAUUUAUCAGUUGAUUAGAUAAAAAAUAAUUUAAAGUAUGAAAAAAUAUCACAACUUGCAAAUUACUUGUUACAUAAUUACUUAUCCAUUAAUAUUAAAUCCAAAGAUCCUAUUAUUGAAUGUGGGAUUUUUUUAUCCAAUUUAAGAUAAAUUUUCAUUUAUCAAUUAAUUAAAAAUAAAAAUACAUUUACUUGCAAUUUGAAGAUUACCUGUUAUUAUUUAAUAAUUAAUUUUUUAUUUAGUAUGAAAAAAUGGUAGAGAUUAAAAAAAAAUUAAACUCAUAGUGAAAUGUUGAACAUGAAUCCAAAGAUUCAGGCACUUCAUUUGCAUUAUUUCAUCUAUAAUUCAUUCUCGCCAUUUUAAUUUAAAUUUUAGUACUACUUAAAAAUCACCUCCAGCUAAUUCACAUACAUACUUAGAAAAUUAACUCUAUAUAUAAUUAAAUUUACCUCCUUAUGAGAUCAAUACUCGUCAACAUAAAUCUAUACCAUAAUAGAUUAGUGCGCUUGUAAGUACAAUAAAAUUUGCACAAUAGUAUGCCAAAAAAUUAAGACUUGACCCAUGUUGUGAAGAUGUGAGAUGAUAAUAUCUUAAUAAAUCAUUAUGUUCAUUAUGCUUAUUCCUUUCUUGUCAAAAGGCCUCAUGGUAACUGAGAAAAUUUAACUGAACAGGAUUUCUAUUAUGUAAUGCUAGUUUUACGAAACAACUUAUUCUUUCAUUUGUAGACACCUUAGAUAGUGAUGGAAAAUCAUAUAAUUAAGCCGGCGCCAUUUAGAUUUUGGAGAUUCUAAUGCCGCUGUAUUCAUUUUUUAUGUCCUGCAAGUCCUUGAUGAGAUCUUAUGUAAAAUCAAUACUUAAAUUUCUACUUGUUAGUUAACCUUGUAUUGUCAGUGAACUUUCAUUAAAGGAUCUAGUAGGGAUAAAUUUUUAACUAAACUUACUUUUAGCAUUUUUGAAGUAUAAUGUUUCCAAAAGCAUGCAAGUAAUAUUAAUAUAAUGGUUAUAGUAUAUUGUUAAUCUAGAUGUUGCUUACUGUUGUUUCAGUUCUCUUAUAAGAAGUCGCAUCUGAAGGAGAGAGAACUCUGUAUUGCUGCCAGUCUGUUCCUCUCUCGUGUUGGUAGCAUUACAUAAAGGAAGUUAAGAUUGAGGCUCUAGAAAGUUUCCAAGAAAAGCAUAUAUUAAAGUGCAUGUUGGAGAAAAUUGAUGAUCUUUGGAGAUCUUUGUGUGUAUGAUGUGUCAAAUAAUAAUGAUGAGAACAACAUUUAUUGAUGCUCAAAGUUAUUACUCUAAAGACGGAGACAUCUUGGAGAAGAUUGAUGAUCUCUGAAUGUUUAUCUGUCUGAUGGUAGUGAUGAGUCUGGUAAUAAUAACUUGAAAAAUUUUAUUUGAGCUAGCCUAUAUUUGUUGUUUUUAUCGAAUUCUGUUGUAAUGGUCACUAGCCCCAUGUGUUUAUAGCUUCAAAUGAACCUGUUCAUUGUACCUUUUCAUCACUUCUUUAAUUUAAGUCUUAAACUUACUUUUUAGUAUAUAGUGUUGAUUUAUACCUCUCUUGCGUAUCAAAUAAGAAAACAUUUGGUUACAAAAAGUUUAUAUUCCUUUCCUUUAUUAAUUCUCCACAUGUUUUGCUACCUAGUAUUAAUCUUGGAACUUGAAAUUCAGUUUAUUUGAUCUUGUUUGUUGGUUGGAUCAUUGCUUGUGCCUAAUCAUAGCGGCGGACCCAAGGGCAAAUAGUGAUUUGUGCCGUGUGGACGUGAGUGUCAACUAGGGGGAAAAAAAAAUAAGACACUAGUGUACGAAUUGGAUAUGCAACACUCACUAGCUUAUGGAAAGAAGAAAGGAUUUACAAUAGAUGGAUUAAGGCCCUAUUUGGCAUUGAAGUUAGGCAAUCGUAGCUUAAAGGCUACCGUAUUAAAGUGAUCAAACAUUAAUUGUUAUAGCAUAGAAGUUAAGAUGAUUUGAUUUUACACUUAUAUAAUAAAAAAUUUAUUAUAUUUUACUAAUUUUAUCAAAAUUAUUAUUUAAAAAUCGUAUUUAUUAUAUGAUAUUAAUUAUUAACUUUUAUUUCAUAAUUAUAACUUUUUUCUAUCGUAACUAUAACUUAAAAGGUACAAUCCGUCAAUACCAAAUAGGACCUAAUUCCUCGUUAGGCACUUAACAUCACUAUUACAUCAAACCCUCCUACCAAGAAAAGACUCCCUUGUGUGGCAUAACUUAGCCACAAUAUCUCUCAUAUCCAUCCGCUCAAAUGGAGAUUCCAUUGAGCAAAGAACACCAAUUCUAAUUAUAGCAUUCAAACACUCCUCCAAUUUGGCUCUUCUAUCUUCCCGAAUCUUAGAGUUGUUCUCUAUUACGUCCAUCAAAAUUGAAGGAUCAAUAAUCUCCAUUACUUUUUCUGGUAAAGCCAUCUUAGCAUAUUCAUGGAGAGUAAGUCCUUCUUUAAAUGUUACAUGUUCCAUGAGCAGACAAUCCAUGAGUAGAUAAUCCAUGAGCAGACGAUCCAUGAGCAGACGAUCCAUGAGCAGAUAACCCAUGAGCAGACAAUCCAUAAGCAGAUGAUCCAUGAACAGACGAUCCAUGAGCAGAUAACCCAUAAACAGACAAUCCAUGAGCAGAUGAUCCAUGAGCAGAGAACUCAUGAGCAGACAAUCCAUGAGCAAACAACCUAUGAGCAGACAAUCCAUGAGCAAACAAUCCAUGAGCAGACAAUCCAUGAGCAGACAACCCAUGAGCAGACAACCCAUGAGCAGACAACCUAUGAGCAGACAAUCCAUGAGCAAACAACCCAUGAGCAGACAAUUCAUGAGCAGACGAUCCAUGAGCAGAUAACUUGUGAGCCUGUGAGCACAACCAACAGUCAGGAGGUGCUGGAAGUUUUUCCGGCGAGAACCCUUCGAUGAUCAAGUUAGCGAUUUGGGUCUUACUUGGAAAAAUCCAUACCACAAUUCAUGUGGCUUAAUUAUGAUUGCUUUAAACAAAAAAGCUUUUAAGUAAAUUUAAAGGAAAAUAAUUAAUCUUAAAGAAAUCAUAAGCAGAAGAGAAAUUUUCCAGUGGUAGAUAGAGAAAAAGGUCUAAUGGGUUCAGUUACCCAGAGAGAGAGAAAGCUAGAAGAAUCCCCCCUUUUUCCUUCCCCUUCCUAGGGUUUUUAUAGGAAACUAUAGCGAUUUUUAUCCUCUCCCCUAGAAUUCUCAAGAAAACUACUAAUUUUCAGCCCACUAAGAAUAUGGUCCCUAAUAUUUCGGAGAAAAUGUUUUGACUGAAUCGUGCUUCCUGGUAACUUCCUGGUCGAGGUGACCAAUAACAUCCUGGUCGAGGAAAUGUGCUCGAAGUCACCACAUAUUAUUCUGAUCGAGGUAACCAAUAACAUCCUGGUCGAGAUGAUGUACUCGAGGUCACCACAUAUUAUUCUAGUCGAGGUGAGCAAUAAUAUCCUGGUCGAGGUGAUGUGCUCGAGGUCACCACAUUUUAUUUUGUUUGAGGUGACCAAUAACAUCUUGGUCGAGGUGACCAAUAACAUUUUGGUCGAGGUGAUGUGCUCGAGGUCACUACAUAUUAUUCUAGUCGAGGUGAGCAAUAAUAUCUUAAUUGAGGUGAUCUGCUCAACCAUUUGCUCACUUUUACUUUGAGGAGAGUACGAUAAUGUAUGAGCAAACACCUUUAUCUUAGUCACCCUAUUUCAUUCCCUAAACACAUACCAUACUCUUAAACAUAUUGAUUCAUUGUGUUAGGUGCCAAAUGAAUGCUAAGAUCUAAUAAAUCUAUAAUACUUUUUAAAUAAAUAAAUAUAUCAAGAUGUCCACAUUUUAAAAAGUGUGAACAGAGCUAAAAGAUAAAAAGAAAUAGCAAGAACUUUAAUGUAUUAGAUUUUAUGGAAUUGGAGUUUUAGUUUUUUUUUUUUCAGCUUUGUUCACAUGAUUAAAAAAUAUGCAUAUUCAUAUAAGAAAAUGAUGGGAUAUGUGUGUGUUACAUGAAAACAUUACCUGGAGCAACAUAGCCAACUGUUCCUUUAAUCCCAAUUGAGCUUGAUGGAGUUUGAUUAGAAGUAUCAAGGUGGUGGCUGAGAGAAAUUUUGCCAGUCCGAAGUCACCCACAUGGGAAACCAUGUCACGAUCUAGUAGAAUAUUGCUUGGUUUUAGAUCUCCAUGAACCAUAGCUAGUUGACAGUGGUGGUGAAGAUAUUCAAUUGCAGAACUAACAUCAACGGCCAUGUUCACUCUUUGAAUAAGACUUAAUUUACAACCUUCAACUUGAUCAUUGCUCUGGUGCAACCAAUCCUCUAAACUUCUGUUUUCCAUAUAUUCGAAAACAAGAGCCUUGAAAUCAACCCCGUUAAAAUCUAUACUAGAGCAAAUAGUAAUGAUUUUGAUAAGAUUUCUAUGGCGGAUAUUUCUUAAUGCUUCACAUUCAGUCACAAACCUCCUAAAAGCUCCUUUUUGCUUAAGAUUUAUCACUUUCACAGCAACUAUCAUUUCAUCUUCACCCAAAAUCCCCUUGUACACAUAUCCAAAGCUUCCUUGACCAAUCAUGUUUGACGAUGCAAAUUCACUAGUUGCCUUACUUAGCUUUGCAUAAGAAACCAUAAGAAAUUAUUUCUCCAUCGGUGAUGUAUCCAUAGAGUUAUGAGCAAAUCUCAUUCUUCGAGCAUAAAUAAUAGUAAGGCAUGAGGAUAAUAUCAAACACGACACUACCACUGGAAUCAACACUCUAAGUGUUGAAAAGUCAAAGAGUUUUGGUUGAAAAAGAAAAGUGAGCCACAUGCAUUGCUUUUGUUUUUCAAAGUCGGCACCAAAUUGUAAGCUGUAAAAUAUUUGGCUUUUGACAAUCCUUCACCAAAUGAGGAAAAAUGAGAAAGGUUGGCAAAAUUUGUCAAAUUGACAGAUAGGAGAAUUGACAAAUUGCAAAGCGGAUGGUGCAAUAGUGCAAUGUUUUUUGCUCUAAAUAGAGAUGCAUUCUUCAUUUGUAAAGCAUCCAAAAAAAUUGUUAAGCUUACAAGUUUCUAAGCUUUUGAGAGAAGUGAGAGAAGUGUGUCUGGGAAAUUUAUCUUUCUUGUAGAGUGUGAGAGUACUGGGUAUAUUUGGGUUUUUGGAAGUGAGAUUCGUUACUCAAAUAUUGUACUCUAUUAAUUGUUAAAUAAACAAUUAUUCUUUCUUGCCUCUGUGGAUGUAGGUUUAAUUACCGAACUACAUAAUUCUUGUGUCCUUUAUUUUUCUAUAAUUAUUUGGUGCGCUUGAUUCCGCAUUCCGCACACAACAAGUGGUAUUAGAGCCGACGGUUCGCACUUGGGGGAUAUGGUACUGUUCACGUAUACGAUAAGAGUCUAAGGAUUCUGGUUUUUAAUUGGGACCGAGUUCCCGUCCAGUCUCCGGGGAACUUUCCUGGUGUAUUUAUUCACGUGAAAUUAACAUCAUAGAGACAGUUUUUCAAGUGGAAAUAGUUCGUUGAGAAAAUGGUAGAAGGUGAAACUUCCAGAAUUGGGGAAAGAUCUACGGAGACUAUUUCAGGAGACACUUCAGGUGGGAGGCGAGAUUUGUCAAAUCGCUAUUCAGCACAUGUUAUAUGAGGCCAGAAGAUCGAUGUUGAAAAAUUUGAUGGGAAAAUCAACUUCGGCAUGUGGAGGCGCGAAGUUAUAGAUGCCCUUAUUCAAAUCGAUCUAGAUGUUGUUCUGAAAAAUAAAAUACACUUGUAUGAUGAAGAAAUUUGGGAUCGUAUGAACGAGAAAGCUUGUGGUCAGAUCAGAUAUUGUUUGAUCAAGGAGAUGAAAUACUUGGUGAAAGAUGAGGAGUGUACAGUGACUUUGUGGCGUACAUUGGAGGAGAAGUACUUGUUGAAAGUCUUGAAAAUCGUCUUCAUGCAAUAAGCCAAAUAUAUAGUUUUCGAAUGAAGCCUAGGGUGUCAAUGCACGAUCAUGUCUCAAGAUUUGAAAAGUUACUUGUUGAUUUGAAGAAUUUUGAUGAAGAUAUUAAGGAUGAAGUCAAGGCUAUGAUUCUGUUACAUUCACUACCAGAGGAAUAUAGCCAUUUUGUGACUACCUUGAUAUAUGGGAAGAGUGUAAUCGUCUUCAAAGAUGUUUGCACAGAAUUGACUAACUUGGAGAUUUGGAAUAAUAAUAAAAAUUCUGAACGAGCAUCGUCUAAAGCUUUGAUGAGUAGAGAUUGGGCGAUGGACAAAAAGAAAAAGGGUGGUGGAAAGAAUUCUCAAUCCAAAUUGAGAAGUAGAAAUAUAGCUCGAGACGAGUGUGUCUUUUGUCAUGAAAAGGGUCAUUGGAGGAAAGAUUGUCCAAAGGCUCAAAAUAGAGAUGGGAAAAAACCAGCAGCAGCAAACAUGGCACGGAAAGAUGAAGAUUCUGAUUAUUCAUUAAGUAUUACUCCUGCAGCAUACGUGGCUAAUUCGAGUGAGUGAAUACUUGAUAAUGGAGCAACCUAUCAUUUGUGUCAUAUUAAGGAAUGGUUUACGGAUUUUCAUAAUCUGGAAUUCGGUGCAGUUGUGUUGGGGAAUGAUCAACCUUGUCGCACAAUGGGGAUAGGAACAAUUCAGCUCAAAAUGUUUGAUGGAAUGAUCAGCGAACUCAAAGAGGUUAGAUUUGUUCCAGGUUUAAAGAAAAAUCUAAUUUCUGUGGGUGCUUUGGAAGCUAAAGGCUACAAGGUUACCAUUGAAGAUGGCACAAUAAAGUUUACACAUGGGGCUAUGGUGAUUCUGCAAGGGGUUCGGCAUCACAAUCUGUACUAUUUAAAGGGAGGUACAACUAAUGAAGCAAAUGUUAUUAAGGUGCACAGUGACACCACCAAGCUAUGGCAUGUACGACUGGGACAUACUAGCGAGAAGUCUUUGCAAACUCUGAUGAGGCAUGGACUCUUAAAAGGUACCAAAACCUGUAAAUUAAAUUUAUGUAAGCAUUGUGUAGUAGGCAACUGAUGAAGCAAAUGUUGUUAAGGCGCACAGUGACACCACCAAGCUAUGGCAUGUACGACUGGGACAUGCUGGCGAGAAGUCUUUACAAACUCUGAUGAGGCACGGACUCUUAAAAGGUACCAAAACCUAUAAAUUAAAUUUCUGUGAGCAUUGUGUAGUAGGCAAGAAAACAAGGGUCAAGUUUGGUACAGUUAAUCACGAUACUCGUGAGAUCCUUGAAUAUAUUCAUAGUGAUGUAUGGGGACCAACCAAGAUUUUUUAGUAAAAAAAAACUUAAUACUCAUUUUUAAUGAUUAAAAAAAUAUGUUAUUUGGAUUCAAACAUCCAAAUCUAUUUAGAAUUCAGAUAAAUUCAGAUCUAUUCUGAUUUCAAACUAAAAAAAAAACCACCUGAAAUUCAAAAUAUAACAAUUAUAAAAUAUUAUUUUAUUCUCAUUUAUUAAAAAACAAUACCCAAGCGGCCUAAUUCAAUCAUUCACAGCUUCUUAUUUUUUUCGAACAGCUUUUGAGUAUUAAUUUAAGGCAAGCCAACUACUCUUAACAUUUCAAAAAAUGUGUGUUGAAAAACGAACACAGCCUCUAUUCUCUAUCAUUUACAUUUAAUAAUUCAGCAUGACAAUAAACUUCCAUCUAAAAUAAUUAAAUUCUGUAUUUUUUUGAGGGCGCAAGUCAGUCAAGUAGAGGUUGACGUCUAUUUUAUCGAUAUCAGUAGAGUACAUUUUUCUCUAGUUAUAAUGUGACAAGUCAGUCAACGAAACCAUGUUUUGUAUUUCGUUACGAGUUCGAAUCUCAAACUCUCUGGUACAACCUUAAUGAAAUCCAAACUAAGAUUAUUAUUUAUUCUAUCAAUAUUUUGUUCACAUUACGACAUCGAUAUAUAUUCUAUUUUAUCAUCAGGUCUUGAUUAAAUUUUUUUUCCUUAUUAUUAAAAUGAAUCUUAAUAUAUCAAUGAGAAAAUAAAUUUGUAGUUUUUUUUUUGUUUUUUAAUUUCUUUUGUUGUAUUUCCUACUUCUUGGUGUUCGGUUCUAUGUGAAUUUUAGGAUUAAGUUAAACCCAGUGAAAUUAAUAAUAAUAUAAAUAUAAAUUUUUUUGUUUGAAUUGAGGUGAGAUAUGAGACGCUCCAAGGAUUUAAAUUCAGAUGAUCAACUAAAUAAACAUGUUUCCGAAGAUUCAGUUUCAAAUAAUUAACUAAAUAAAUUUUCUUUAAAAUCAAUCAAGUAGGCCUUGGAGUAUUUGAUGUGUGUAUCAAUAUAUGCAAAUUGUUGCUACAAAAGAGAAACGUGAAGACGGGGUUAAGGGUAUUUAUGAAAUCAAAAUAGGUAUUGUUUAGAAAUGAUAAUAUGAUAUUACUUUCAAAAUUAUUUAGUGUAAAGGGGUUUGGAGAGAACUUUCUGUGGAUGACAAUAGCUCGAUUCUUUCCUUAAAUAAAUUUUGUGUUUAGUUUUUCGACCUAAAGCAGCGGAUAAACACAAAAAUAAAAUUGAUUUAUGAAGAUAGGCUAAUGAAAAAGUUAUAUGGGGCCCUCUUUUUUUUUUUUGGUAAUUUUCAAACAGAUAAAGCUUUGUUUUUGAAGCAUGCUUUUACUAUUUUUUCUGCUGCCCAGAAAGCAAGAACUAAUUAAUACAAUCAAGAAUUGAUAUUGCAUCUCAAAAAAUAACUAAAUAAUACUACCUAGGUUUGACAUAAGAAAAUAAGAAAAUGAAUCUUGGUCGUCGUUUUCACUUCAUUUUUUCAAAUACAUGCAGUCAAAGGCGCUGGCUCAACCCAACUAAACAUAUUUUGCUUCCAGAAAAUAUCAUUCGAAUAACAUGAAGAUAAAAAUGACAUCAUUGUAACACAAACAAUACUGUUAUCUUUUAUGUUUGUAUAUUAUUAUGGUAUGAAUAAUAUUCAUAUUUUUGUCUUCCUGCGGUUCAAAUAACAUUCUUCUUUGCUUCAUCUUCCUUCUAUUUAUGUAAUAUCAGUUGUCUUAAAUCGAAAAUGUACAAAAGGGGAUUCAUGAGUGUUUUAAAGGGGUGCUAAUAGUUUAACUUUUGCUCUAUCAGCUCCCAGGCCCAACAGCCCAAGAAACUAAUGUUCAUAAACACAGAAAAAGACUUCACAAAGAAACCUCUGCUACCCUUCGACGGAUCUACUCCAUUCUGAUCUCUCAAUCUCUCUCCUCUCCUCUUUGCUGUAAACCCCUCACUGGCUCCCUUGCCCGGGAUAUCGCCGGUGACCAGAAAUUGAGCACUGCCAGACGCAGCAGCCAUAUGCUGCUGACAUAGCCUAGUUACAGACGGUAAAGUUUUCUCAAUCAAACCUCUUUAGUUAUUUUUUGCGAUGUCGUAUCAAUUCUUGAUUGUUUAUACUCUUUCUAGAAGGCUACUUAAUUAACAGUAACUCGCUCCUAUGGAGAGGAAGAAGACAAGUCCCAAUGUGCAUGUGGACAGGAUUUCGUCAUUGCCACAACUCAUAUUGCAUCAUAUCCUGUCAUUUCUCCGACUCGAACAUGUUGCUCAAACUAGUGUACUGUCCAAAACGUGGAAACGUGUCUGGCACACAUACCCAACUAUAUGCUUUGAUCCAUACAACUCUACUUUGAGUAGACAAAAGAGGGUUUUGAAAGCUUAGAACAAACUCUGCUAAAUCGUCAUAUGAAUGCCAUUGGUUUAAAAAAGCUCAUGCUUAGCCUACACUUAUCAGAUGAUCCAAAAUUCGCAUCAAACAUAAACAGGUGCCUUAUCUAUGCAAUUGCUAGCAAUGUCGAAAAGUUAAGUCUUUAUUCGGAUGACUUGUUUUUUGUAGUGUGAUUUUUGUAACGAAUUCAUGUUAAUGUAAUAUAUAUUAUCAAACCUUAAUUUUAUUUAAAUUUUUUUAUUUUAAUAUUAUUAAAUCAAGUUUAAAAAUUAAAAAUGUAUCAGUUAUUCGGGAAUCGAGAACCUUUGGGGAUCCCUUGUUAUUAUUCAGAGAGGGGACGGGUAUCUCCUCAAGCAAUUUUGAUAGGGACGAAGAGAGGACGGGGGACAUUGCAGAAUAUCGGAGAUGGGUACAAGGAUGUCGGUUCCUGCCCCUCCCCUCUCCUCCCCAUUGCCGUCCAUGUACUAUGUUUACUCACUUUGAAUUACUUAAGAUGUUUAAUGAUAUGACAUCUUAUGUGUCAUCCAUUAAGUGAUGAUAGGUUUAUAAUUAAUAAUAAAUCAAUUAAUACUAUAUACAUGACAUUAAAUGAUUGACAAUACAUCAAUAAUUAUCCCAACUAAGUAUAUAAACUAAGUAAGCAUAGCAUUAUUGUUCAAUUAAACGAUUGAUAUUCUAUUCAUUUCCCUUUUUUGACUAAUUAUAUAGCCAAAUUUAUUAUUUGCAUUCUUUCUAGAGCUGCGCAUAAUCCAAUCAAUCCGAUCGUAUUGAAUUACAUUGGAAGUUUAGAAAUCUAAAAUUGAUUGUUUAGAUAAUAUUUUUGCGCUUAGCGUUUUGCAAUGUCAUAUCAAUAUUUUCUCUUUAGGCACUUAACAUCGGUAUCCGUUACAUCAAACCCUCCUGCCAAGAAAAGUUUCCCUUGUAUGGCAUAACUUAGCCACAACAUCUCUCAUCUCCAUCCGCUCAAAUGGAGAUUCCAUUGAGCAGAGAACACCAGUUCUAGUUAUAGCAUUUAAACAAUCUUGUGUUCUGGCUCUUCUAUCUUCUUGAAUCAUAGAGUUGUUCGCCAUUACCUCCAUCAAAAGUGAAGGAUCAACAAUCUCUAUCACUUUUUCUGGUAAAGUCAUCUUGACAAAUUCAUGGAGAGUAAGUCCUUCAGUAAACGCUGCAUCGGUUGGUCGCCUUCCGGUAAACAUCUCCAGUAACAGAAUUCCAAAGCUAUAUACAUCUCCUGUCAUGGAUGCUUCGCUGCCCAUGCCAUACUCUUAAACAUGUUGAUUCAUUGUGUUAGUUGCCAAACAAAUGCUAAGAUCUAAUAAAUGCAUAAAACUUUUUAAUAUAUAAAUAUAUCAAGAUGUCUGCAAAUUAAAAAAUCGGAACUGUGCUAAAAGAGACAAAAAUGAAAAAUACGAACUCUAAUGUAUUAGUUUCUCAGAGAAUUGGAGUUUGUGUUUUUCUUUUUAUCUUUCGCAAUUGUUCAUAUGAUUAAAAAAGGAUGGACAAAACGUUACCUGGAGCAACAUAGCCAACCGUUCCUUUUAUCCCAAUUGAGCUUGAUGGAGUUUCACUAGCAGUAUCAAGAUGGUCACUGGAGAGAAAUUUUGAUAGUCCGAAGUCACCCACAUGGGCAACCAUGUCGUUAUCUAGCAGGACAUUACUUGGUUUUAUAUCUCCGUGAACCAUAGGUGGUUGACAAUUGUGGUGAAGAUACUCAAUUGCAGAAGCCACAUCAAUGGCUAUGUUCACUCUUUGAAUGAGAGUUAAUUUGCAAACUUCAAGAUGAUCAUUGCUCUGGUGCAACCAAUCCUCUAAACUUCCAUUUUCCAUAUAUUCAAAAACAAGAGCCUUGAAAUCAGCCCCCUUAGAAUCUAUACUAGAGCAAAUAGUGAUGAUUUUGAUAAGAUUUCGGUGGCGAAUAUUUCUUAAUGCUUCACAUUCAGCCACAAAACUCCUAAAAGCUCCUUUCUGCUUAAGAUUUAUCACCUUCACUGCAACUAUCAUUUCUUCACCACCCAAAAUCCCCUUGUACACAGAUCCAAAGCUUCCUUGACCAAUCAUGUUUGACGAUGCAAAUUCACUUGUUGCCUUACUUAGCUCUGCAUAAGAAAUCAUAGGAAAUUGUUUUUUGGCCGGUGACGUAUCAACAGAUUUAUGUGCAGAUCUCCUUCUUCGAGCAAAAACAAUAGUAAGGCAUGAGGAUAAUAUCAAACAUGACACUACCACUGGAAUCAACACUUUGAGAAGAGUGAGUUUUGGUUUUCUCGAUCCUUUAGACGGACAGGAUAGUAAAUGCAAUUCAUCUAUACCCCCACAAAGCUUUACAUUCACCUGGAGUGAAAUUUUGGUUUUAUUACUAAAAACUCCUUUAGUUGGAACCUCACCCUCCAAAUGAUUGUAAGAAAGAUUUAAGAAUUCUAAGAAAGAUAGAUUUUGAAGAAAUUCUGGAAUCUGGCCAGACAGAUUAUUGCUUGAGACAUUUAACUCUUUAAUGCUUUUCAUGAAACCUAAAGAAAAGGGAAUGACGCCAUGAAAAGAAUUGCUCGAAAUAUCAAGAUAUUCUAAGCUUACACAAGUACUUAAAGUAACAGGAAUCACACCGGAAAAUUAGUUGCUAGAUAUGUCCAACAUUACGAGAUUCUUCAGGUUGCCCACUUGUAGAGGAAGAGAGUCGUUUAGAAGAUUAUGAGCAAGAGCUAGGUAAACUGAAAGUGUUGUUAUGCUGAGAACUUGUUGGGGUAUGGCACCGGUGAGCUUGUUAUGGGAGGCGUCGAAGCCUUUCAAAUUCUGACAAUUACCAAGAGAUGAGGGUAUGUUGCCUUGCAAGUUAUUGAAGCUCAAUGCAAGAUCGGCUAGUUUAGUAAGAUUACCAAGACUGGGGGGAAUGCUCCCUUGUAAAAAGUUUCUAAACAUGUAUAAUUGUUGUAAGUGUUGAAGCUCACCAACUCCAUCAGGAAUAAUGCCAUGUAAUUGGUUUACUUCUAUAGUAAGUGCAAUUAGAUUGACAAGAUUUCUUAUUCCAGAAGGUAUGGUUCCAGAUAUUUGGUUUCCUCCUAUGCGAAACUGAAUCAUUGUUGAGGAGAGAUUGGCUAUCGAAUGAGGCAGCUCUCCUCCGAAUUGAUUAUCACACAAACUAAGCGCUUUCAAACUACUACAGUUAGUUAGAAGGGUUACAAAAUCAAGAUCAUUGGCUGUCCCCAUCCCCAGAUUGUUCUGCUCCAAAUUUAACCACCAUAGAUUCUUAAGGCUGCUAAAAUCAAUUGACACUUUCCCUUUGAAUUGAUUGCCGGAAAGAUCGAGGCGCUCAAGAUUUGAAGCAUUGGACAAUGAAUCAGGAAUAGAGCCGACAAAAUUGUUUCUACCAAAAUGUCAAAUAGAGCUCUUUAAGGUUUGGAAGAUUGACAAGAAUGUCAAAUGGUAAACUUCCACUGAAUCUGUUUACUGUAAGAUAAAUAAACUCCAGGGAAGAGAUAUUACAAAUCCAACGAGGAAACAUACCAGAGAAUUGAUUUUCAGCUACGUUGAGAUAAACUAAGUUUCUGAGUAGGCCAAGGGUAGUUGGAAUUUGGCCGCCCAAUGAAUUCCAUCUAAUUAGUAGCAUCCCAAGAGCUGAAAGAUUCCCAACGAAAUCUGGGAGCUGUCCUGUUAAAUAAUUGAAGUCGAUGGCCAAUGUUUGAAGGUUCAACAAGCUCCCUAUCUCUUCUGGGAUUUGUCCCUCGAGCUUGUUUUUGCUGACACGAAGUUGGAUGAGGUUAGAGCAACGGGACAAGUUGGUAGGUAUUGUACCCGAAAAUGAAUUGUUGGGCAGUGCUAGUUUCUCAAGCCUUAGAAGAUUACCGAUUUCUUGGGGAAUUUCACCAUGGAAGCUGUUGUCCGAAAGGUUGAUGUACCUGAGGAAGCUGAGGUUUCCAACGUAAGGAGACAAGAUGCCUCCUAUCCUUUGGUUGCUCAAAUCUAACUCGGUUACCCUUUGAUGCCGAUGGCCACAAGUCACUCCAGUCCAUAGGCACAACCGCACAAGUUUAUGGAAUUGUUCCAUGAACUUGUGACUCCCGAUGGAUCAUGAAGCUGUGACUUUAUGGCAAGCAAUGCGAGUCGAUCUGUCUCGUUGGUUUGGCCAGCAGAAAAGCUAGGAGAAUUAAUAAGCAACAAGCUGAAGCACCAUAUCAAAAUGGCAAGGCAGCUAAUGGAAAUGGAAAUAUUAGGCAUUUUUCUUAAGGUAAACAAGUGUAAUGCAAUGUAAUGUGUGGGUGAUCGUCUCUAGUUCGUGUGAAGGCUUUUAUAGGCAAAUUUAAUUAGUUUGUAUGCUAACAAGUCAUACAAAGAUUUUUCUUCUUUUAUUUUUUUAGGCUUUUGGAUGGAAAAAUUGAAGUAGUGGAGCCCUCAAUAUGUAGUUUCGAAGCACAGCUAGACUUUGGAGGCUUCAUCUUAAUUACAAGGCCGUGAAUAUGAUUGGACGGGCCUAUUGACUACGCAAUAAUAACAAUUAAUAUAGACCGUUUCCAAAAGAAAUUGGGUAAGAUUAUUAGCUUUCGAAUUUGCAAGUCAGCCAACCAUUCUUGAAAUUUCAAUUUUAAAAAAAAAAAGGUUAAUUUAAGUGUUCGGUAGUUAUUUUAACUGUUUUGGACGCUUCGUAAAACAAGCUGUAAUUUAUUCCUUCAAGAAGAUGUACAGUAGCUAUGCCCUUCGAACUAAAUUAACACAGCCUUCUCUUUCCACUUCCUAGACUCUUUAAUAUUUUGCUUCUUCUUCUUUCAAUUCUCUAAAAUCCUUUUUUUUUUCCCUUCUUUUCUUAUAAUCUAAAUGAACCAUCUCUCAAAGUUGCUUUAUUAUUUGAAAACCUUUUAAUUGACCGCGUUGAGACCACCCUCAAGAAUUAGUCCAGCUGUCCCCAUUAAAGUUCAGAUCCCGCGCCAUUAUCGAAGGAUUUGGUUCUUCAAGCUGAAUUGAAUUAUUAGUAACAUUAUUAUAUAUUAUAGCAACAAUGAUGAAGAAACUGAUAAACAGAGAGAAAGAGAGAUAGAAAUAGAAAAGAAAUGAGAGAUAAGGUAAAAUUUUGUUUUUUAAUCUUAAACGUGUGUGGUUGUUUAUUGAAAAAAAAAAAAGAAUUACAAAAAAUAUUUUCUUUAUCCCAACAAUUAUUUAAUAUUUGUAGGUUUAAAUGGAUUGGAGGAAAAUUUAGCUAUAAAGCAAUGUUAUUAUGUGCGAGAUUGUAGUAGUUACCAAGAAUUUUAUCUCUUAAGAGCUAACUUGUUAUGUUAUAAAAAAAUAUUUAUAAUAAUUUGAUAAUUAUGGUGUAAGAACCAUGAUAAUGUAAAACUUUUUUUUAUUAAUGCUGAUACUAACUUAUGUGUGGUAUGUUUGUGUAUGUAUUUAUAUAAUUUUAUAAUUUGUUUAAUGUUUUAAUGAAUUAUUUACUUAGUUAAGGAGAUUAUUUAAGAAAAUUUAUAAUUUUUUUAAAUAUUGCUUUUUAACUAAAUGUUUAGUAAAAAUUAUUUCUAAAAAUAAUACUAUCAAACACAUUGUAUAUUUAUCAUUUUCAAUUAUGUCUACUGAACAAUGUUCCUAGUUUUAUUUUUAAAAUAUAGGAUCCAAAAAAUGAUAAUAGACGCAUACUUAUGGGUAAUUAACUACUAUAAUGUUGACAUGUGGCAGAGAAGAUAAGAUCUGAAUGAAGCAGUGAGGAGGAUUUAGUCCAAAUCACGUAUAUAUCGCGGCCUUGAAUAAACCUGAUAAAGAAAUUUCCUUUGUUCAAAUUCAUUUGGUAAACCAAUUUAGACGUAAACAAGUCAAAAUGCUGUGGAUUCAAAACGCGGAAAGACCUCUAUUGAAUCUUUUGUCGUUUAGUGCGUUUUCUGUUCUUCUACUGGUACAAUUUAAUUUAAUAAAAAAUAUACCCAAGGCCAAGGCAGGUGUAAAAUUUGUUCAAUAUUUGUUUCAUCGGUCAAUAAAAUUAGGAUGCAAAAUUUUUGCUCCCAAUAAUACGCGGUCAAUCAAUAAAAAUUAGGUGGUAAUUGACUUUUUUAUUACAUGAAUCAACCACACGUCAAUUGUCAGCCGUUGGAUGGGUAACCAAAAGGAUAGAUGGGUUCUGGGAAAAGGACGAAAUAAAAUUCACAGUUAGGUGGGGGGAGUGAGGAAUAAGGGGACCCACACACACGUGUACAAAGUGGUCCACGAACGAAGAAGCGUCAAGCGUUGCAUUGCAUAGGGAGAAUUUUGUUGGGUUUAGUUAAGGUCAGCAUCUUAAUCAUGGAAGCAUUAUUUAGGUGGACAUUACGGCCAAGGCGGAUGUACGGUACAGCAGAGCAAGGCUAGACCGGGCUGUAGCCCGGUCAAACUUAGUAAAAAAUCAUUCAUACCCCUUAUUUUACUAUCAAUUAUAGACAAUAAUAGAGAUUUUAUUUUGUUUUCAUACAUGUCCCUAAUAUAAUUAUCCUAAUAUUUUCAUUAAUUUUAUACUAUAAUAGAGUUUUUAUUUUAUUUUUAAAUAUGUCCUUAAUUCAAUUAUAUUUUUUUCCAAUUGAAAUUAGUGACUUAUUUUAUAAAAUGAGUAAAAUAUUUAUUUACUAUAUAGAUAAAAAACAUUAGGGGGUAAAAUGUUAUUACUUUAAUUUAUUUAAAGAAAAAUCUAAUUGAAAGAAAGUAUGUCAAUCUAAUAUAAAAUUGUCACUAGUAUUAAACUACUUAAAAAAAACAUGUAGUAACAAUUAUCAACAUUUUCAUAAACUUUUUAUGUAAAUUUUGAGAUUUUAUUUAUUAGUUAUAUUAACUAAGAUAAAAUUUGAAUAUUUUGAGGAGCUUUCAUUUGAUAGAAAAAUCAUCAACAACUGGUUCUUUAAAAAGAGUCAGAGCGUUUGGCAAAGAAACAAUAACACCUAAAUACAUUUUUGUUAGGUUGAAUUUAGUUUAUAAUUGAAACUUUUGACUAAUAAUAUUUUUAUAAUUUAAAAAGAGGAAUAAAUUUGAAUUGUUUAAUUUAUUGAAACCUGGUAAUUAAGUACUUGACUUCAAACAUUAAAGUUUUACUUCAAUUUUUAAUUGAUUGUAAUUACAUGUAUUCAUUUAUUUCAGCUUAAAAUCCUUAAUUAAUAUAUUAAUCCUUAUAUAAUUCUUGUAUAAUUACAUUUUAUUAGAGUCAGAUUUCAUAAUUGUAAAAUAAUAUUUUAUUUUUUUAAUUGCUUUUGUUUUCUACUCUUUUUAUAUAACUAUUUUUGUUUAUAACUUAUAGCGAUAAGAUUUUUCGUGCCCCCCUUAUUUGAUGCAAUUUUUUCUACUUAUAAAUUUUUAUGCUCACUUUAAAAUAUAAAUUUUUUAAUUUAGCCCGGGGUAAUACAAAUUCCUGGGUCCGCCCCUGGUGGGAAAACACAUCCUCCUCUUCUUUUUUUUUUUUUUUUCUUCUGCUUUUGCCAAUUGCCAGUGGCCACUCAAUUUCUUAUUCCAUUCUACUCUACAAAAGUCGCCCCGUCAAUUUGAAACUAAAUGCCAACCACCAAACGAGGUAUCAAACAAAAUCUUUUCGAUCUCUCACUCUCUGUGCGUGCAUGGUUGUAGAUACUUAUAGAGACGAGUCAUAGUUCUAUUACAAACAAACCAUGCAACUAAGCUGUUUUCAGUUAGGUUGUCUUUCUUCUAAUUAUUUGUUUUUUACGAUGUGGUCUUUUGGUGGGCAUUUAUGUCUUCUUUCUUUCGAAAUGUGAGUAGAGUAGACACCCCUUGAAUAUUAAAGAGGGAUAAAAUAUGGGCAGUGCUACAUAAGAAUUAAUGUAAAUUAGUCUCAAUAAUUAUCUGAGUGUAAAUAUCAGUUGUAAAUCUCAUAAAAUAUGAGUUGUAAUUUGAGCAUUAGUCUCAUAUUAUUCAAAAAAAAAUUCCUUUUCACUUAUAUGUCAAAUUUUGGUUUUUAGUUCUUUCUCUUUUAAUUAAAAAAAAUAAGAGGAAAAAAUAAAUUUAAUGUCCAAGCAAUCAAUAAAAAUGAGAUUAAUCAUUUUUUUAACUCAUUUUCUCUUUCCCUCUUUCCUUUCUAUUCCUAUCCCCUUCUAUCAUUUCUUCCAAUCAAAGAUGGGCCACACUAAGGUAGUAUUUAAUUUUAUUUUUUUGUUUGAAAUUUGAAUGAUUUUGAAUUUUUUUAAAGUUUGAAUGGGUAUGAAUAUAAAUAUCUGAAUAACAUGUUUGUUUUUAUAUUUUUAAUGUUUGAAUAUAAGUAAUAUCUUAUUUGUUUAUAUAUAUAUAAAUGGUUAUUUUACAUUUAUGUCUUUGCAAAUAAAAAAAAAUGAUUAGAUUUUAUAGUUUAGAAAAUAAAUAUAUUUAUUGAGAUAUUUUUAUAAUAUAAUAUUUACUUUUCAUUCGGACUUUUUUUCAUUCAAAUAAAAGUUAGCAAAAAUUUAUUUUUUCUAUUUAGAUAUAAAUAUUUAAGAAUCUGACAUAAGUUAUAAAAAAAUAAACAAACGAGUUUUAAAAAAUUAUAUGAAAUUAUAAAAUUUAAAUUUCAAAUAUAUGACAAACAACCCCUUAUUACUCCUGGUUUAUUUUUUUUUUAAUAUAGUAUUGAUCACAUUAGUGAGUUUUCAAUUAGAGAUUCUUAUUAUAUUAAAAUUAUGGAUGAAUUUAAAAAAUACAGAUUUUUAAUAAAAAUACAUAAUAAAAUACUCUCUAUCAAAGCUUGUAUUUUUUUAUCUGGUAAUUUAUACCUGACUUUAUACGAUCAUAUAUUCCUAAUUAUAAGGUUUCUAGUGAUGAUCACAAAAACGAUAUUACUCGGCCUACCGUCCCCCUCCAUAAGCUAAUCAACAGCGUCCCUCUAUCGAAAUCCAUUUUUUAUAUUAAAAAAUUUGAUUCUUUAUUUAUUUUUGUCGGCACUGACCGUACAUUCCUUUACUAAUAGACCUAUACAGACACCCACUACAGGAAUAGAUUUCUUAUGUCUCCACUCGCCCAUCCCCAUUCUCUUUGCCCUGGCCGGAUUAUCACUGGUGUCAAAAAUUGAACACUGCCAGGCUCCACAAACCACCGCCUGGUAUUUUUUCAUAUCAAACCUCUUUAAUUAUUUUCUGCAUAUUAUUUAUUAAUUUCUGUUUAUUAAUAUUAUUAAAUGGCUACUUAAUUAACAGCGAGGGAGGGUUAGUCAUCAUCAAUCAUGGAGAGGAAGACAAAUCCCAAUGCCGCCAAUGCAGACCUGAUAUCUGCAUUGCCGGCACCGAUAUUGCGUCAUAUCCUGUCAGUUCUCUCGAUUGAACAAGUUGUUCACCUUGUCUACUCUCUAAAACAUGGAAACAGGUCUGGCAUACUCACUCAAGUGUCGAAUGUAAUGGAUUAUUAUCGAAGAGUCCGGAGAACAUAUUGAAAUGCUUGUUAAAAACUUCGCUAAAUCGUUAUCGGGGUGAUAUUAGUUUAGAAAAGUUCACGCUUAUUAUUCAGUUAUCAGAUGAUCUGAAAUUUGUAUCCAGCGUAUACAGAUGCCUUAGAUAUGCAGUUGAAAGUAAUGUCAAUGAGUUAAAACUGGGAUUUUGUUGUCCUUAUAGUAAUUAUCCUGAUAGCUAUUACAAUUUGCCUCAAUUAGUUUUCUACGCUAAAUCAAUGGCUCUGUUGGAGUUAGAUUCUUGUAAGCUAGAGUCACCGAGAGGUAAUGUUAUCUUAUCUUGUUUGAUGGAAUUGUGCCUAAGACAUGUUUGUGCGGAUGAUCAAGUGAUUAAGGAUCUACUUUCUGGGUGCCCUUUGAUUGAGUUUAUAAGUAUCAUUUCUUGUCAAGGAUUGAAACAUCUAGAGUUACCCAAUCUUGGUAAACUUAAGGAAUUCAAGGUGUAUGAUGAAUAUGGACUUGAACGGGUGUAUAUACAUGGAGUGAGUGCUCAUUCAGUAGAUAUCAUCGCCCUGCAUAUACUUCCUCACAUCAAUAUAGCCGCUUGCAAGAAUCUAAAAAAAUUAUAAUUAUGUCAAGUUUUCAUUACUGAUGAGUGGCUUUGCGACCAAAUUCCUCAACUUCUGUUCCUUGAGUAUUUAGAAAUAGUUGACUGCAUGAAGUUAAGGAGUAUUAAGAUUUCAAGUUGCUGUCUGAAAAGUUUUUUGUUCACAAGUUAUGAUACAUCGGAUGAGUUCUAGCUUUACACUCCAAAUUGAAGUAUAUUCAAAUAUAAUGGUGAUUUGAUAUCCUUCUCUUCAACUGCUUUCUCUUUGUCGGAAACUGCAUUGUUUUUCAACUCUGAUAAUAUUAACAAUCAAUGGUUUGUAUGAUUGAUUGAAGUUCUUGCAAAGUUCAGUCGUUCAAAAGUUUUAAACUUGCAAUGUAGUCAUGAGGUAUGUUUAUUCCUUCCAGACCCUUCUACCUAAAAUUUUAUAUCCUUUUUGAAUAAAUUACUGUCAUACAUCAUGAAGCUCUUUUUUUUUUUUAAUUUUUAAUUUUCUUCCUGAAGGCUGUGAUUAUACCAAGAGAAUUGUGGGAAAUAUUACAUAUACCCUGAAUAUCUAAACUUGCUGAACCUCCAGCUACUUAAUUAAUAGUGAGGGAGGGGACAAAUCAUGGAGAGUAAGACCAAUCCCAGUCUGAUUGUGGAUGUGGAUGUGGAGGUGGACAAGAUAUCUGUAUUGGUGGAAGCAAUAUUGCAUCAUAUCCUGUCAUUCCUCGCAUAUGAACAUGUUGUUCAAACUCGUAUACUCCCUAAAACAUGGAAACGUUCUAGCAUUCUUGUUUGAUAUAGAAUGUGGUCAAUUUUAAUUUCUCUAAGUCGAUGUCAAGGAAUCAAGAGUAUUUGGUAAAAAUUUGCAAAAUUGUCAUCUGAAUGCUAUUAGUUUAUAGAAGUUCACGGUUGAUGUACAAUCAUCGGAUAAUUAUCUAGGAUUUGAAUCCCCCAUAAACAUAUGCCUUAGCUAUGCAGUUAUAGCUGGGAGUAAUGUCAAAGUGUUAAAACUUCGAGUUUAUUGUCCUUUGCCUCAAUUAAUUUCUAUGCAAAAUCAAUAGUUCUGCUGGAGUUAGAUUCUUGUAAGCUGGAGUCACCUACAAGGAAUGUUUUUUUUCCUUUUUCUUUUUUAUAAAACUUACAAGGAAUCUUACCUUAUCUUCUUUGUGAAAGUUGUACCUAAGACAUGUUUGUGCAGAUGAUCAAGUUAUGAAAGAUCUAAGUGGUUGAAUCCAUAAAUAUCAUUGCUUCUCGAGGAUUGAAAAAUCUAGUGUUACUAAAAUCUUAGUAAACUUAAGGAAUUCAAAUUGUAUAAUAAUCUUACUCAUUCCUCCCACACAAACAAGUUGUUCAAACUAGUAUACUCUCUAAAACACGGAACAUGCCUGUCAUUCUUGUCUGACUAUAGAAUGUGGUCGAUUUUUCUCUACGUUAAGGAAUCGGCAGUAUUUAGUAAAAAAAUUUGCAAAAUCGUCAUCUGAAUGUUAUUAGUUUAGAGAAGUUCACAGUCGGUGUAGAAUUAUCAAAUCAUUAUCAAGAAUUUAAAUUCAACAAAAUAGAUGCUGAGGCCCUUUGCAAGAAUCUAAAUCUACUAAACUUUUGCCAGCUUUUCAUAACGGAUGAGUGGCUUUCGAACUUAAUUUCUGAACUUUCGUUCUCGGAGUGCAUACAUAUACAUCUUUGUAUGAUUUUAAGGAGUAUUAAGAUUUCAAGUGGCAGUCUUAGGAAAUUAUUUUUCAGAAGUCGUGAUAUGUUGGAUGAGUUCAAACUUGACACUCCAAAUUUAAGAAUAUCAAAUAUCAUGGUCAUUUGGUAUCCUUCUCUUCAAAUGCUUUGGCUUUGUCGGAAAUUACACUGUUUUUCAGCUUUGAUAAUAUUGACAAUCGAUGCUACGGGAAAUUGACUGAACUUUUUGCACCGUUUAGUCAUUAUUCCAAAGUUUUGAAGUUGGAAUGUGAUCCUGAGGCAUGUUUGUUCCAAAUUUUUUUACCUAAAAUUUUUUAUCUUGUUUGAAUAAUUUAGUAGCAUACAUCUUGAAACUCUAACCCCUUUUUUCUUUACUAAAAAAAAAAAAAAACCCUUUUUUUUUUUACCAAAAAAAAAAAAAAAAAUUCCUGAAGGAUGUGAUUAUACCAACAGAAUUGCGGAAAUCUUAUGUCCCCCAUUAGUUAAUGACAAGUAUGUGUGCUUUUUAGCCUCUGAAUAUCGAAGAGUUUCCCUUGCAAAACUUGUGGAUGGCUUGCUCUGGAUUUCACCACAUAUGGAGAACUUAUCAAUAAAGUAUGAUCUGUAUUGUUGGAAGUACAAGCUUUCUUUUCAGGUAGGCUGUAUUUUUCAUUUAUGGGAAUUAAAGACUUGAUCUGUACUGUGAAGAUGGAGAUGCUAUAUCAAUUUCUUUUGUCAUCCAAGUCCCUGAUGAGAUCUUAUGUAAAAUCAAUACUUAAACUUCUACUUGUUAAUUAGCCUUGUAUUUUCAAUUGACUUUCAUUAAAGGAUCCAAUAAGGAUAACUAAACUUACUUUUAGCAUUGUUGAAGCAUAAUAUUUUUAAAAGCAUGCAAGUAAUAUUAAUAGGACGGUCUUAGUGUAUUGCUAAUCCGUUUAUAUUCAACUUUAUCUUGGGACUUCAUUUUGUUUUUCCUUUUGAAAGUUGGAUCCCUAGAUAGUAUGUUUUUUUUUUUUUUUAAAAAAAGGGUUGAUAAUAGAUUUGCUUACUGUUGUUUCAAUUCUCUUAUAAGAAGUUGCUUAUAUCUGAAGGAGAGAGAACUCUAUAUUACUGCCAAUUUGUUCCUCUCUCAUGUUGGCAGUAUUGCAUAAAGGAAGUUAAGAUUAAGUGCUCUAGAAAAUUUCCAGGAAAAGCAUAUAUUGAUGUACAAAAUUAUUUCUUCUGAGGUGGAGAGAUCUUGGAGAAAAUUGACGAUCUUUGGAGAUCUUUGUGUGUGUGAUGAGUCAGAUGAUAGUGAUGAGAACAGCAUUUAUUUGUGCAUAAAGACUCUAAGGACGGAGACAUACUGUAGAAGAUUGAUGAUCUCUGGAGAUCUUUGCAAGUUUAUGGUCUGAUGGCAGUGAUGAGUCUGAUAAUAACAACUUGGCAAAAUUUUAUUUGAGUUCUGGUAGUGGUAUCCUUAUCGGAUUCUAUUGUAAUGGUCAUUAGCCCAAUGUGUGAAUAGCUUCCAAUGAACCAGUUCAUGUGUACCUUUUCAUCACUUCUUUAUUCUGAAUCUUAAACUUACAUUUUAGUGUACAGUGUUGAUUUAUGCCUCUUGGUGCCAAAUAACAAAACAUUUGGUUAUAAAAUGGUUUCCAAUCCUUUCCUUUAUUAAUCCUCCACAUGUUUUGCAACCUAAUAUUAAUCUUAGAGCUUGAAAUUCAGUUUAUUUAAUCUUGUAUUACAGUUGGAUCUUUGCUCGUGUCUGACUAUAGCGAUGGACCAAUUGUGAUUUGUGCCGUGUGGAUGUGGGUCUAAAAAAAUUAAACUUUUAAAGCACUUUGUGUAUGAAUUGGAUAUGCAACAUCCACUGGCUUAUGUAGAAGAAGAAAGCAUUUACGCUAGGUGGAUUAAUUCCUUGUGAGGCGAUUUAGCAAGGAACGAUAUAUGAAUAAUAAUAGAAUAUUCAUUUUCAAUUAAAAGUGAUGUUAAGGAUGGUAGAAAUCGCUAUGGGGAUAGGGAUCCUUAGGGAUUUUAUCCAUUCGGAGUGGGAAUGAGGAUGAUUUUAUACCCAAAUUUUUUCUUUUUUUGUUGGGGAAGGAAGAGGAUGAUUUUUUACCAAUUUCGUUUUUGGGGAAGAGAUAGGAAUGAUUUUUUACCUAGUUUUAUAUUAGGGGAAUGGACGAGAAUGAGCUAGAAUCUUCAUCCCCUCCUCAUUUUCUCAUUUUAAUUUUUAAUUUAAUUUUUAUUUUUUAGCAUUAUUACUUGGCCGUACAGCAGUUAAAUUAUAAAAUAUUAAAUAUUAGUAUAAAUAGUAAAUUUCAAAAUAUUUGUAUAAAUAUAUUAUAAAACUUUAGGGCUUAGUUAACUAGUUAUAAUUCUGAAUUAUUAUUCAAUCAGACCUUCCAAUGGCCUUGGUUCAAAUCCAUUUUAGAUUAUGAUUUAUAUUGCUCAUAUUAUUUAUAUUGUUUUAAAUUUGAAACCUGAUGUUAUCUCUCAAGGAACAAUAGUAGCAGGAGGUAUAAGAGUAAAUGCUUUUAUAAAAAAUAUUAAUUUCAGUAUCUAUACCCUUUUCAUUUAUUUCAUUAUUGAUAUAAAAAUAAUUUCUUUUUGUUUUUAUUGUAGGAUUAUAAAGAUUGAUGAAAAUAAUUAUUUUGAUGAUUUGUUUUUUGUAGUGUGAUUUUUGUAAUGGAUUAAUGUUAAUGUAAUAUAUAUUGUCAAACCUUAAUUUUGUUUAAAAUUUUUAUGUUAAUAUUAUUAAAUUAAGUUUAAAAAUUAAAAAUAUAUCGGUUAUUCGGGGAUUGGAGACCCUUGGGGAUCCCCUGCUAUUAUUUAGAGAGGGGACGGGGAUCUCGUCAAGCAAUUCUUAUGGGAACGGAGAGGGGACUGAGACAUUACAAAAUAUCAGGGAUGGGUAUGGGGAUGCCCUCCCCUGCCCUCUCAAUUGCCAUUCAUGUGCUAUGUUUACUCACUUUAGAUUACUUAGUUAGGAUGUUUACUGAUAUGGCAUCUUAUGUGUCAUUCAUUGAGUGAUGAUAGAUUUUAAUUAAUAAUAAAUUAGUUAAUACAUUGAAAGAUUGACGACACAUCAAUAACUAUCCCAACUAAGUGUAUAAACUAAGUAAGCAUAUCAUUAUUGUUCAAUUAAACCAUUGAUAUUCUAGUCACUUCCUUUUUUGACUAAUUAUAGAGCCAAAUUUAUUAUUUGCAUUCGUUCCAUAGUUGCGCAUAAUCCAAUCAAUCCGAUUGUAUUGAAUUACUGCUGUACCGUACAUCCGCCUUGGCCGUACAGCAGCAAGAAUUUUAUCUCUUGGCAUAACUUAGCCACAUAGCCACAACAUCUCUCAUCUCCAUCCGCUCAAAUGGAGAUUCCAUUGAGCAGAGAACACCAAUUCUAAUUAUAGCAAUCAAACACUGCUGCGUUUUGGCUCUUCUAUCUUCUUGAAUCAUAGAGUUGUUCGCCAUUACCUCCAUAAAAGUGAAGGAUCAACAAUCUCUAUCACUUUUUCUGGUAAAGCCAUCGUGGCAAAUUCAUGGAGAGUAAGUCCUUCAGUAAAUGCUGAAUCAGUUGGUCGCCUUCCGGUAAACAUCUCCAGCAACAAAAUUCCAAAGCUAUAUACAUCUCCUGUCAUGCAUACUUCGCUGCCCAUGCCAUACUCUUAAACAUGUUGAUUCAUUGUGUUAGUUGCCAAACAAAUGCUAAGAUCUAAUAAAUGCAUAAAACUUUUUAAUAUAUAAAUAUAUCAAGAUGUCUGCAAAUUAAAAAAUCUGAACUGGGCUAAAAGAGACACAAAUGAAAAAAUACGAACUCCAAUGUAUUAGUUUCUCAGAGAAUUGGAGUUCGCGUUUUUCUUUUUAGCUUUUACGUUUGUUCAGAUGAUUAAAAAAGGAUGGAAAUUCGUAUAAGAAAAUGAUGGGAUGUGUGUGUAUAACAUGAAAAACUUACCUGGAGCAACAUAGCCAACCGUUCCUUUUAUCCCAAUUGAGCUUGAUGCAAUUUUACUAGCGGUAUCAAGUUGGUGACUAGAGAGAAAUUUUGCUAGUCCGAAGUCACCCACAUGGGCAACCAUGUCAUGAUCUAGCAGAACAUUGCUUGGUUUUAGAUCUCCGUGAACUAUAGGCGGUUGACAGUGGUGGUGAAGAUAUUCAAUUGCAGAAGCCACAUCAAUGGCUAUGUUCACUCUUUGAAUGAGAGUUAAUUUGCAAACUUCAAGAUGAUCAUUGCUCUGGUGCAACCAAUCCUCUAAACUUCCAUUUCCAUAUAUUCAAAAACAAGAGCCUUGAAAUCAGCCCCCUUAGAAUCUAUACUAGAGCAAAUAGUGAUGAUUUUGAUAAGAUUUCGGUGGCGAAUAUUUCUUAAUGCUUCACAUUCAGCCACAAAACUCCUAAAAGCUCCUUUCUGCUUAAGAUUUAUCACCUUCACUGCAACUAUCAUUUCAUCUUCAGCCAAAAUCCCCUUGUACACAGAUCCAAAGCUUCCUUGACCAAUCAUGUUUGACGAUGCAAAUUCACUUGUUGCCUUACUUAGCUCUGCAUAAGAAAUCAUAGGAAAUUGUUUUUCCAUUGGCGAUGUAUCAACAGAUUUAUGCGCAGAUCUCCUUCUUCGAGCAUAAACAAUAGUAAGGCAUGAGGAUAAGACCAGGCAUGACACUGCCACUGGAAUCAACACUUUGAGGAGAGUGAUUUUUCGUUUUCUUGAUCCUCUAGAUGGACAGGAUGGUAAAUGCAAUUCAUCUAUACCCCCACAAAGCUUCACAUUCCCUUGGAGUGAAAUUUUGGUUUUAUUACGAAAAACUCCUUUAGUUGGAACCUCACCCUCCAAAUGAUUGUAAGAAAGAUUUAAGAAUUCUAAGAAAGAUAGAUUUUGAAGAAAUUCUGGAAUCUGGCCAGACAGAUUAUUGCUUGAGACAUUUAACUCUUUAAUGCUUUUCAAGAAACCUAAAGAAAAGGGAAUGACGCCAUGAAAAGAAUUGCUCGAAAUAUCAAGAUAUUCUAAGCUUACACAAGUACUUAAAGUAACAGGAAUCACACCGGAAAAUUGGUUGCUAGAUAUGUCCAACAUUACGAGAUUCUUCAGGUUGCCCACUUGUAGAGGAAGAGAGCCGUUUAGAAGAUUAUAGGACAGAUCUAGGUAAAGUGAAAGUGUUGUUAUGCUGAGAAGCUGAUAGGGCAAGGCACCGGUGAGCUUGUUAUGGGAGGCGCGGAAGCUUAUCAAAUUCUGACAAUUACCAAGGGAUGAGGGUAUGUUGCCUUGCAAGUUAUUGAAGCUCAAUGCAAGAUCGGCUAGUUUAGUAAGAUUACCAAGACUGGGGGGAAUGCUCCCUUGUAAAAAGUUUCUAAACAGGAAUAAUACUUGCAAGUUUUUAAGUUCACCGAUUACAUCAGGAAUAGUGCCAUGUAAUUGGUUCGAAUCCAUAGUGAGUGCAACUAGAUUGACAAGAUUUCUUAUUCCAGGAGGUAUGGUUCCAGAUAUUUGGUUUCCUCCUAUGCUGAACUGAAUCAUUGUUGAUGAGAGAUUUGCUAUAGAAUGAGGCAGCUCUCCUCCGAAUUGAUUAUCAUAUAAACUAAGACUUUUCAAACUACUACAAUUAGUUAGAGAGGUCACUAAGUUUCUGAGUAGGCCAAGGGUAGACGGAAUUUUCCCGCCCAAUGAAUUCCCCAUAAUACGAAUUACCUCAAGAUCUGAAAGAUUUCCAACGAAAUCAGGGAGUUGUCCUGUUAAAUAGUUGUCGUUGACGGCCAAUGUUUGAAGCUUCAACAAGUUGCCUAUCUCUUCGGGGAUUUGUCCCUCAAGUUUGUUGUUGGAGACAUGAAAGUGGAUGAGGUUAGAGCAACGGGACAAAUUGGCAGGUAUUGUCCCCGAAAAUGAAUUGUUAGGCAGUGCUAGUUUCUUAAGCCUUAAAAGAUUACCAAUUUCUUGGGGAAUUUCACCAUGGAAGCCGUUGUCGGCAAGGUUUAUGUACCUGAGGAAGCUGAGAUUUCCAACAUACGGAGACAAGACGCCUCCUAUCCUUUGGUUACUCAAAUCUAACUCGGUUACCCUUUGAUGCCGAUGGCCACAGGUCACUCCCAUCCAUUGGCACAAGUUUAUAGCAUUGUUCCAUGAACUUGUGACUCCUGAUGGAUCGUGAAGCUGUG